rnacentral:rRNA from 1 species
AUGGAAGAGGGAAUAGAAUCGAAAUCCUUCUCCCGCACAUCCUCCUCCAGUGGAUUCGAGGAAUGGGUAGCGUCAAUGAGGAAGCGCACCGGGAGGAUGUCCUCAUUAUCCCAGUCGCCACAACCGAAGUCGGGCAUUUUGGCUAUCGAAUCCUCAAUCAGUCCAGAUGUGCUAGAAAUCGUAGACUCUGGUAGCGAUGUAAUCGACUCCGGCCCAUGUGAUUAUUUGCCAAAAACAAGCCUCUGGGAAAGGCUUGGGAGUGUUUCUAUGAUGGACAUAGAGUCAAGUAACUUCUGUUGGACCUCUCUUUCUUCAUUGCACCAUACGAAACAUACUACUGCAAGUUCGGAACCCACCGAGGAUGAUAUUAACAGAAGUUUUGAGGUGACUGUAAAUUCUGGAGGAGUUGUAUUCAUUGCAUUAUUCAAAACAUCUAAAAAUGGUGAAGUUCCUUCCAAGGAAGCUGCAGCAGUCAUUAAAAUAGCACCAUCAAGGAUGGCCACACAGUCAGAACGGUUUGGAUAUGAACUGGCUAAAUGGCUUGGCGUAAGGACCCCUCAAGGCAGAGUGAUUCAUAGCUCCUCAUGUGAAUGGCAACAAAUAAAGGAUGCAGUAGAGAAUGCUCGACAUGAAGCAAUAGCUGUUGGUGAUGAACUUCAGGAGAUGAUUUGCACUGAGAUGCUAGAAGCUCUCGAACUAAGCCGAUGUCUAUUCCUGAUGAAUUAUGUACAUGGAUCCCCUCUACUAGAGAGCACAACACCAUUUGAUUCCCCGGAGUUUGCUGAAAAAACUGCCGAAGCUUUAGGUAGGAUCUUGAUCCUGGACCUCAUUCUGAGAAAUGAGGACAGGCUGCGGUGUCGGCCCCUUGGUUGGCGUGGAAACUAUGCAAAUUUACUUGUUGCCUACAAAGAAGCUUAUGCAAACCUUGAUUCAUUGGAUGAUAUUCAUGAUUCUGCCAUCAUCCGCUACAAGCCAGAGAUAAUCAAAAGCCCUAAGAAACAGAAGCAGAGAAGAUCCGUUUCAAUAAGCGGCAGUGUAGGCUCGGAUAUCUCAGAGCUUUUGGAAGACUCUUAUGAUCAAAUUGAGCCUGAGAUUUCUAGCUUUCAUAUUGUAGCCAUUGAUUCGGGUGUACCACGAAGACCACCCGCCAGUAAACGAACGAAAGAUCAAGAGAGCUAUCCAAGACUGGUGGAACUAACACUAAAUAACCUGGACUAUUCUUCGAACCUCUUAUUUGAGGUGUCCAUUGGAAAACUUGGUACCCCUGGACCCGAAGAAUAUGACAUGUCAUCCGAUUAUAGCUAUCAUUCUCCUCUGUCUGAGAGUGAUAUGGUAGCAAUAGUUAAUUCCUUCCGAGGAGGUUUUCGUAGUGCUCUGAGGGACCUUCAACGGUUCCACAUUUUCCUGCUCACACUUUAUCAGAAGCUAGAUGCUCUAUUGAAAAUUUUCUUUAAUCUUAUGUAUAAAGGUUCAAAUGAAUCUGACAAGGAAGAUGCAGGUCAUUCUGAUUCACCAUUGUGUCGUAUAGAGGCACAUACAGAUCUGAGUGAUUCCGAAGUUCCACGACAUAUGCGUAGGCCUUCCCGUACCUUAUCCCGUGAUAGUUUUGACAUGUCAUCUCCUAUUUGUCGAGAGAGCUUUAUGAUGAAGAAUUGGAAAGCAAAUGGCGAUGCAUCCCGUGGUCUACGAUUGACGAUGAAGCUCAGGGAAUUUAACAAGUAUGCCAAGGUAGACAGUGAAUUAAACAAAGAAAUAGAACAAUGGAAUGACAUGCUCAGGACUGAUGUUGUAAAAUUGUGUCAUGACAACAAUUUUAACACAGGCUUCUUUGAAGGGAUAGAUAAUAGUGUUGUCGUUGAUGCUUAUGAGUUGAAGGUCCGUCUUGAGCACCUUCUUGAGAGGAUAUCACUGAUUUCUGAUGCUGCAAGUACAGAACGUCCUUCUCAGAUCACAUAUCACAUGUAUAUUGGUGGUGCUCUAGCUGCUCGGUCGACAUACACACUUCGACACCUUGGCAUCACCCAUGUAUUGUGCUUGUGUGCGAAUGAAAUUGGACAGUCGGAAUCUCAGAAGCCUUGCCUUUUUGACUAUCGAAACUUCUCAAUAAAUGAUGAUGAAAAUGCGGAAAUCACCGAUGUCUUCCAAGAUGCAUGUGAUUUCAUUGAUUUUGUUGAGCACCUACGCGGCAAAGUUCUAGUGCAUUGUUUUGAAGGAAAAAGUCGAAGUGCAACUGUUGUUCUUGCUUACCUGAUGCUUAGAAAAAAUUGUACUCUUCUAGAAGCAUGGGACAUGCUGAAGAAGGUGCACCGACGUGCGCACCCCAAUGACGGAUUUGCUAAAGUCUUGCUGGAUCUUGAAAAGAAGCUGCACGGUAGAACCUCCAUGGAGUGGCAGCACAAGAGGCCUGCAAUGAAAGUAUGCCCCAUUUGUGGUAAGAAUGCUGGCCUCAGCAGUAGCUCACUCAAGCUACACCUACAGAAGGUGCACCGAAAGAUAUCGUCGGGAAGCGUAGACUCAGCAAUGACCUUGGAGAUACAAAAGGCGAUAGAGGCAUUGAAGACAGGGUGA